rnacentral:rRNA from 1 species
AGUUUUAAGUUUGAUUCUUGCUUAUAAUUUUUAUAUUAUGAUUAAAAAAUACAUGAAAAUUAUAGUGUUCCUUUAUAUUAAAAAUUAAAAAUUAUAUAUAGUAUAAAUCUCAGUAUUUAAUUUUAAAUAUUAAUUAAAAUUAGAAUUGGUAAUCAUUUUAAUCCUGACUAAAAUUUGUGCCAGCAGUCGCGGUUAUACUUAAAGGGUAAAUAAAUACAAUUUGGUAUUGUAGUAAAUUAUUAGUUAAAUAAAAAUUAUUAUUUUUUUUAAAGGGUAAAAUCAGAAUUUAAUUAUAAUAAUAAUUUUAAAAAUAAAACACAAAUAAACUAUAAAUUUUAAUAUAUAAACUAGGAUUAGAU